GUUAGGAAUAUUGGACAAUGGGCGAAAGCCUGAUCCAGCCAUGCCGCGUGAACGAUGAAGGCCUUCGGGUUGUAAAGUUCUUUAGCCGAUGAUUAUAAUGACUGUAGUCGGAAAAUAAGCCCCGGCUAACUUCGUGCCAGCAGCCGCGGUAAUACGAAGGGGGCGAGCGUUAUUCGGAAUCACUGGGCGUAAAGCGUGCGUAGGCGGUUUUGUAAGUUAGGAGUGAAAGCCCAGGGCUCAACCUUGGAAUUGCUCUUAAAACUGCAAGGCUAGAAUCUCGGAGAGGAUAGCGGAAUUUCCAGUGUAGCAGUGAAAUGCGUAGAUAUUGGAAGGAACACCAGUGGCGUAAGCGGCUAUCUGGACGAGUAUUGACGCUGAGGCACGAAAGCGUGGGGAUCAAACAGGAUUAGAUACCGGGUAGUCC
rnacentral:rRNA from 1 species